GCCCUUUGAGUGUGCCCUGCAAAUUCAUGGGUGAGCCUACAGAGAGCCAUUAGGACCACGGACUAAACAGAGACGCGUCAAGCACUAGGACCAAGCGGAAAACAGCCGCUCCAGCUGAAGCCUGUUUCUCUUCGUUUAGACCCGCCCACAAGCUCCUCGAUUGGCUCUGCUGUUUCUUGUGUGAUUGGCCGUCCCCGCUGUCACUCCAUCUUGCUUGCACACCGGUCUGAGAGGAGUUUCAGCGCACUGAGGAGGUUAAAGACCUGGCUUCACAACUGCAUGAAGCAGAAAGGCCUGAACAAUGUGGCAGUUUGUCACAUAAACCGAGAAAGGCUUGAUGCCUUGGACAGGAAGAAACUCUGCCAGGAAUUUAUCUCUGCCAAUGAUUGAAGACAACAUGUGUUUGGAAGCUCUGGAUGAUGUUGAUGAUGUUGACCCUUCUGUGGUCUUUGGCUCAAAUUGACCCUUGUUCACUUUUCAUUUACAUCAAAAAUAGGAUUUUCUUCCAUAUAACUGCCUAAAAAUGACAGUGGUUCUCUGUUACACUCAUUUCAAAUAAAAUCUGUUUACCAUAUAUUCCAAAAAUAAGUGUAAAAUUGGUGGUACUGAGUUGGAGUGAAGUUGACUAACAAGGUGAAACACAGAAUUGGGUGAUAAUGUUUUGCUACAUGCUUUACAACCAGUCAAACCAAAAAAGGGAACAGUAAACUUAAAAGUAGUAAUAGAAAACUAGAAGAACUACUAGAAAACACAGUGAACUGAAAGAGUUAAGAGUUUUAUUAAAAAUACUUGUCCCCCCACCUCUGAAAUCAAAAUUUUGUCCUUGAUUAGGGCAUAAGAUAAACUAUAUCUCAGUGGCUCUGGUCCUACGUUUUCAGUAUGUAAAGAUAAAAAGGGAUAUGACUCGCAAGAUAAAUUGUUUUAAAUUGUCAAAAUUGAAGAAGCAACCAACUUUUAGUCCCUUGGCAUUAAUCAGACUCCAAAAAUGUCUAAUACCAUUUGACAUCUCACCACAAGGUCUAUUAAUAUCGUGUUUUGGAGCUUUCAUUCACUAAAUGGAUAGAUUGAAUUGUCAACUACUGUUUCUCUAAACUUCUAAACUUUUAAGCAAACAUGGAUGGGGAGUCUUUGAAGAAGAGGAAGAGAAAAACAGAAAACUUUAACAACCGGGCGACCUCCAUCUGCUGAGGAAGAUCAAAUGAAACAAUCAAAAGCUCCAGAACAGCUACUUAAUGGACACUGUGACUAGACUGUUCUGUCGACUGCUGUUUCUAAGGUCAAAAAUGAACAUUCAGUCUCACCAAUGCCAUAUUCUCGUCAGCCUUUUGUAACUCCACUCUACCGGCUGUGUGUGCCCAAGCCGAGGGUUAUUUCUUCUCUGUUGACACGCUGAAUAACACUGAUAAGUAAACUGACACUGAUGUAGAAAAUCAGUGACACUGCCCUUAAAUAUUAAUCAACAUACAGCAUGAAUAAAUCACACACCAUCAUUAUUUAGAGCCGCGCAGUUUUAAUGAGUCUUAUGAAGACCAAAUCAGACACGUAAGUGACAGCAGCGCACUGAUAACAAGUUAAAAGUCGUAGUUUAAGCUCAGAGAUCCCUGAAAAGAGGCUGUACAAGUCAUAGAUACAGUAUAUAAAAUACAAAACGAAGUAAAGGCAGUGUUGUGAUAUUGUAGUUGCGCUUUAAAAAUUAGCAGGUCUAAACAAGCCUUCUGAGGAGUUCUAUGGAUCUGUAGGUCAACAUAGCUCUGUGGUCAAGUGUGUUGUAUCAUUUUCUGCCUUUCUUUUAGAUGUAAGUUAUACUGGAGGCCAACUUUUGGCUACUUCUUGAUGCAUGGCUUCAGGUAACCACUGGCAGUAUGCAGACAACAGAACUGUAGGAGGAGAAAAAUAUAAAACAAACAACAAGAUUAAAUGACAAUAAGGCUAAUCAAAUCAGACUCAGGCAAUGUCAUGUCAAGCAGAUUGAACCCUCACAUUUAUCUUCCGUUUUCCAGACAGAGAGGAGGGUAUCUCUGCAGUCAACUCUCUUUGACACCAGCUCUCCCAGCAAAGCCUCCGUCCUGGGUUGCAGCCUAACACAGCAACGACACAAAAGAACAGAGAUCAGGGAACUUCCAGGUUUUGGUGCAGUACCUGUCCCUCAAGCAGAAACCUCGAAAACAGUUUGUAACGCUCCAGGCCGUCUGGAUAUUCCUUCUCCACUGCUGGGAGCUGCCAACCUAUACGGACUGCAGGAGAGACACAGCAGUUACACAAAUAGGCGAGGACUCCCUUUCAGCACAAACAGAGCCGUGGUGCUCAGCCGGAGAAGACUUACAGAAGGUGCUCGAGCGGUGACAUCUGACGGUGCCGGUGGAAGAACAGAACCACGGUGACGGCGACUCCAGAGGGGAGCCGAAAUGACAAUACUGAUGCAGAAGCUCGGGGACCCACUCUGCUUCUACUGCUGACACACCUGACAGAGACAAGGAGGAAGACAUUUCACCAGGUGAGAUCAUCAGCCUGCAAAUCUUGUUUCAGUAAGAGCAAAACAAACUUGAGCCCUUUUUGCCUAUAUUUGUUUACAUUUAAAGCCCAUUAAAAGUCUGCUGAAUUA